GGUAUGCAAGUCGAAUGCCGAUUUAUCGGCAUGGCGGACGGGUGAGUAACACGUUGGAACCUGCCCUUAAGUGGGACAUAACCCAUCGAAAGAUGGAAUAAUUUCCCAUAUGUCUUCGGAUGAAAGAUUUAUCGCUUAAGGAGGGUCCUGCGGCCGAUUAGCUAGUUGGUAAGGUAAUGGCUUACCAAGGCAACGAUCGGUAGCUGGUCUGAGAGGAUGAUCAGCCACACUGGAACUGAGACACGGUCCAGACCCCUACGGGGGGCAGCAACUGGGAAUCUUGCGCAAUGGACGAAAGUCUGACGCAGCAACGCCGCGUGCAGGAUGACGGCCUUCGGGUUGUAAACUGCUUUUAUGUGGGAAGAUUAUGACGGUACCACAUGAAUAAGGAUUGGCUAACUCCGUGCCAGCAGCCGCGGUCAUACGGAGGAUCCAAGCGUUACCCGGAAUUAUUGGGCGUAAAGAGUUACGUAGGCGGUCUGUUAAGUGAGAUGCGAAACCGCAGGGCUCAACCCUGCGCUGGUAUUUCAUACUGGCAGACUUGAGAGUGGUAGAGGUGAGUGGAAUUGCUGGUGUAGGAGUGAAAUCCGUAGAUAUCAGCAGGAACACCAAUGGCGAAAGCAGCUCACUGGGCCAUUUCUGACGCUAAAGGUACGAAAGCGUGGGGAGCGAACCGGAUUAGAUACCCGGGUAGUCCACGCCGUAAACGAUGGAUGCUAGCUGUUGGCCGUAUCGACCCGGUCAGUAGCGAAGCUAACGCGUUAAGCAUCCCGCCUGGGGAGUACGAGCGCAAGCUUAAAACUCAAAGGAAUUGACGGGGACCCGCACAAGCGGUGGAGCGUGUGGUUUGAUUCGAUGCUACGCGAAGAACCUUACCAGGGCUUGACAUCUCCGAGAAGGUCUAAGAAAUAAAACCGUGCNCAAGGAAUUCG
rnacentral:rRNA from 1 species